UGUAAAUAUCUUGAUAUGCAGGAUGUAUUUAGGCAACCCCUGUGAAAGGGUCGCUCGACCCCCAAAGGGGUCGCGACCCACAGGUUGAGAACCGCUAGAGGGACCAACAUGGAGGUGAGCAGGAGAAAGGGAAGAGGUGGAGGUAGAGCAGCACCUGUGGGCCCUGUGGUCCUUGCAUUGGAGGGGCAGAAGCCUACUCACAAUAGGGAUAGUAACUCACAGGUCUGUUAAGAGGAUCAAGUAAGAGAACUCUAUCAUGCUCCUGACAAUAAUGUUAAGCAGAAUUAUUGUUACUUAUAAGUUAACCCAAAAGAUGGAGGGCAUGGAAUAUUUCCCAGCUGGUCUAAAGUGCAGAUGCUUUGGGAAAGGUAAGAAUGCUUUUCAAUAUAUGAAAAGAAAUAAGGGAGACAUUUCAGUGGGGAUUUCUUGAUCCAAACUUGUGUAUUUUUCUCAAACUAUCUGCCUGUCUAUGAGCUAGUUUGGGGUGCUCUUAUCUCAAAACUGAUGGUUAUUUUUCCCUAAAGCCAAGCAAAAUUGAGGUUUCAAAUCGUAGUUAUUUUCUAAUUUUGAAAUGUUAAUUCCAACUACAGCUUGCCUACCUCAAAGUGAUAGCAAACAACCAAAUGAGUGAGCCAAGUAAGCCGGCUACUGAAAAAGUUGCCCACGUGUGGUUCAAUAACUCUGUGGAUGUAUGUGAGAAUGGCUUUCUGUAUUUGAAAUCAUAAACAGACUCAGGUUUGCAGGGAUAAAGUACCUCUGUGUGUUCGGCUUCCUACCAAAUUACAGUCACAAAAAAGAAAAUGUCCACUUUGGUGUACAAAGGUUUUCUUAUUCUAGGCAACUUCCUCUUAGCCUUGGUUCAGAAAAGAAUAACAGGCUGUUCUACGUUUCUAAGCUCUACGCUACCUUCACUUAGCUUUUCAGAUUCUUUGUGGAAUAAGAUAGGAUACAAGCAAAUCAGCCAAACUGGCUUAGUGUCCUGCCAAGACUCAGAGGCACCUCUGGUUAGAUCCUGCUCUCCGCUUCCAGCCUUCUUGUCCAUUUGACUUUCUUACCUUGGCUUCGGAUCCUGUACUUAAUCCAAUUUGCCCCUUUCAUUUUCACGCUUGCCUUUGGAGAUCCUGUUGUUCCGUCAAUCCGUACAUUUAUUGAGCAUCUAUUGUGCCAGAUUUAGGCACAAAGGGCUCUUUUCCUCUUUUCUGCACUAACCCCGCCUCCUUGCAUCCCUAGGUUUCUGGGCACUUGGCAAUCCCCUCGCCCUGCUCCUGGGGCUGGCCUUGUGAGGCAGAAGUGCAUUAAGCAUGCAGUUACAGGGAGGAGCCCAAGCUCAGAUCAUGUUGGGCCAAAUGAAGAUGAGCAGGUUUCAAGUCAGAGUCAGAGAGCCAGGAAGUCAGACACCGGGAGCGAAGAUCACACAAAAGCAAAUUACAGGGAAGAGGAGGAAAUUAAACUUGAGCAGUUGUCUCAAACAUUCAUUAGUCUUUGAAUCAUGCCUUGCUAGAAGGUUGGCUUGGCUCAAAUUGUGUUAUUUAUUGUCCUGCUAUGAAAUGUGGUUUAAUAAAUAUUUUAUUGGUGGCAUUAUUUUUUGAGAUGUAGAAGCCAUAAUAAAGUUCUAUUUUCUGCUGGUAAAAUCAUUCCUAGCUUGUAUGAUUUUAUGUUGGAAUUAAAUACAUCAGUAAUUCACGGUGCUAUGUAAAGGCCAUCGUGAUCUCCAAGUGUUUGGUCAAUUUGAUGAGUUGAAAACUGCUGUGAGGGAAACAAUUUCAAGGCAAACAAGUUCACUGGAAAAAGAUUCUAACUCAAUUCAGAAAUAUUGUAAAUGGUUAUACCUCUAACUGAACUAUGUCUUGAAGCUUUAUGUUUAAUUUUAACUUAUUUGUGAGAUUCAUAUAUGUAUGUGUGAAAUGUGUGUGGUGUGUUUGGUGAAGCAUCAUAUAUUUCUAAUUACAAGUUCAAAAGUCAGAAUUAAAUGUAUAACUUACUCUGGUUUUGUAUUGUAGUUGCUUCCUCUCACUUUCUAUAAUUAUGUCGGCAGGAAGAUAACCUUGUAAAAUUAAGCCCCAUGCAGUGACUGACUUUUCAAUCAUGUUUUUGCCCACGAGUGGUGGUUUUAAAACUAUGUCCAUAAAUUCUUUGAUCCUCCCCUCUUGGAUAGGAAAGCCUGAUUCCCCUCCUCUUGUGUGUGGACACGACUUGUGUCUAAUGAACAGAAUCAAGUGGAGUGGAUGCAACAGUGUGCGACUGCAGAGACUAGUUGACCUUUGGACAACUGCCACCUAAGUGGGCUUGAAGUGGAUCUCCUAGCCCAGUCAAGCGUUCAGGGAUUUCCUUCAUGCCAGUGACAUUCUGUUCUGCAAGUUUCGCUGCAGAUGUAUGAGCAGUAAUAACCACAACGGACAUGCCUCUCUGCAGACCACAAAUGUCCAUCCAUGCUGCUGCAAAUGGUAGGAGCUCCUUCUUUUGCUUUGAAUGGGCUUGACCUUCCCAUUGACAUUCCUUCCUGUGACUUGCAUGGAUGUGUUUUCAGUGGCAUGUCACCCUUCUCUGCCGACCCUGUGAUGUGUCUGAGGACCUAAACAGCAGCUCCCUGUCGCAGUUGCCCUUCAUCCCCUUGUUUCUGUGUCUGGAUAUCUCUGAAAU